ensembl:snRNA U6 U6 spliceosomal RNA
GUUCUUGGGCAGCACAUAGACUAAAAUUGGAGCAAUAUAGGGGAUAUUAACAUGACUCCUGUGCAAAGCUGACAUGCAAAUUCAUGAAGCAUUCCAUAUUUUU